UAAAGCAACUGGAUAAUCUUGUGUCAAUAUACUGUAUAUAUAAAUAUACAGGUGUGUCGUUGGGUUUGUCCUCUAUCGACAAGUCUACUGUGUAUUAACAGUGUUACAAGUUUAUAUCAGGUCUUUAUCUAUCUCGACGAUUUGUUCAAAUACAUACCUCUACACCAUGAAGAUCAACGUUAUAUUAUGUCUAGCUGCCCUGUCUUGUCUCUUGUAUCCAUCUGAGGCCAUACCUGAGAUUUGUAAUUUACCAGCGAAGCCGGGUAUGUGCAAAGGAUUCUUUCCACGAUAUCAUUGGGAUCAAGAAACCAAAAGAUGUGAAAAAUUCAUCUACGGUGGAUGUUCUGGCAACGAGAACAAGUUUGACACCAUUACCGAAUGUCUAAUGGCGUGCGGAAGUGAAAACCAGAUUCUUUAAAUUUAGAAUUUUUGAAAAACAAAAUUCAAACCAUAUAUAUCUAUUUCUUUUCUGAUGAUGUCAUUUAUCAAAUUGAAUAAAUUUGCAUAAAUUA